GUGACGGUAACUGUUAGCAUGGGACGAAAAAACAUGAUAGAUGAACGCGAUGUCCCUGCAUGGGCUGAAAAACUGGAGAUAUUGACAGUAAAAGUGCCCCAUGGAAACGAAAUGCUUCCGAUGUUACAAACAUUGAACAAAACAUAAAAGGCUGGCAAACGAGUCCAAGUAAGAAAGGAUAGAAAAAAACAGCAUCCAAUAAGGCCAAGGCAGUUGAAGGGCAUGGCGAGAGAGCAAAGACACAAAAGAACGAGCUACCGAAAGAGAAAUACAGCCAUGAGACCGGUAAGGAGCAAGGUCUCGAGAAAGACACAGACUCAGAAGACGAGGAGACAAUAAGGAAACGGUUG